rnacentral:rRNA from 1 species
CAAGGCUAAAUACUCCUGACUGACCGAUAGUGAACCAGUACCGUGAGGGAAAGGCGAAAAGAACCCCGGCGAGGGGAGUGAAACAGAACCUGAAACCGUGUACGUACAAGCAGUGGGAGCCUCUUUAAUGGGGUGACUGCGUACCUUUUGUAUAAUGGGUCAGCGACUUAUAUUCUGUAGCAAGGUUAACCGUAUAGGGGAGCCGCAGGGAAACCGAGUCUUAACUGGGCGUUAAGUUGCAGGGUAUAGACCCG